AAAGUGAGCGUGGCUCAGUGGAAAGAGCCGGCCGGAGCCGUAGGUGGUUUUCCCAGGGUGAGGCUCCGCCAUUGCACUUGGGCUGUGCUGACCCCUGCGAUUUCCCCAAAUGCGGGGAAACUCGACUGCAUAAUUGGUGGUAGUGGGGGACUGCGUUCGCGCCCUCCCCUG